CUUUGUAUAAUGUGAUAGGUUGAAAUUGACCAAUUGGCGUAACUUGGUGGUGAAAUCAAAUGAUUUGUUUCUGGAGUACUAUAUGUUUCCUUUUUGGUUUAUACAAAUAUGGUAACCAAAACCGCAUCCAAAACCGCACCGCAACAGUGCUGUAAUAGUAUCAAAAUCUUUACAUAUACAUAUGUAUCUAUGUAUUUUCGUUACUAUUUAAACCGCACCGUACUUUUUCCGUACCGCAAAACGCAGUCACCAUUCGGAGCCUAAGUUUUUUAUCAAAAAAAAAAUGUAAAAGAAAGUGGUUUUAGCUAUCUUGAAAAUCAAUCAUAAUUAGUAGUUGAUCAUUGCAUAAUUGAAAUAUUCGAGGAUUAGAAAAUACGUUUUCAUGGCA
rnacentral:sRNA from 1 species